ensembl:lncRNA
AUGUCAAAGCCAGAACAGGGUGAAGAGAGAAGGGUACUUCCGAAUCCAAAACCAAGCAUGCCAUCAGUGGGAAUGGGCUUCUCUCCUGGCUCUGCCAAAGGUCAGUAUAACCAAGCACCCAUAGAAAGAAGCCACACGCCUGCUGUGGGGAAGACGAGAGGCGAUGCUGGCCUCAAGGUGUUCCUCUGCUCUAUCAAUACUGGGUGCCAAGGCAAUGCAACAACGCCGCCUUUAAUGCCCAGAGAUUCACAUGACUCAAGAGGUUCUGUGCUAACAUAGCCCCUUGGGUGGUGAGGUGACACAGCUCUGCCGUGGGGGAUACACUUUGAUGGCUCAAGAGUCACAGGCAGCCAAAGAGGCACAGGUUGACUGUUCCUGUCCGACCACUAACCUUAUGGUGGCACUGAGUCCAAACUAGCCCAUCCUGGGAAGAGGCAGGGCUUAUUAGCUACAUGUUGUCUUAACAGCUGUACUGCUUCCAGACUAGAACUGCACUGUGACCACCAUCUGGGAGCAUGGACAAAGAAGCUAGGGUCCACUGGCAAGGCUGUUCCCACCACCUGUCAUUUCCAGGAAUUUUGCCUACAUAAUGAUUUGGUCAAAAGCAAGGAUCUGAAUCUUUUACCCUUCCUUGAGCUGAGUAGUACUUAUUCUCUGUUCUUAUGACUUACAGAUGCAGCCCAAUGUGGUAAGUGCCUUAGAAUUCAAGGGAAAAAGUUUUGAUGAAAGUAAAUAUCAUAACGUAAAAUAAUUGUAGGUGCUUAUAGGUAAAUUAUACAUAUAGGUAUAAUAUACAUGCAUAAUUAUAUGCACACAUCUCAUCUUGUAGUUAACGAUACAAACAAUAUAAAAACAGAUCAAAAUUAUGUUUAGCUCCCCCCUGUAGUUAUACUGCUUGCAAUUAAAUGCAAUCUGUAAAUAUCAAGGGAUUGCCCAUUUCAACCAUAUUAUAGCUUUCAAUUGUUAGAACAGGAAAAAGUAUUACUUUCUACCACAUCAAAUUUAAUAAUAAUUACCAUGUUGGAAAGAACAAUCAAAAAUCCUUUCCUUGAGUUAGCAGAAGGAGAGAGCUAAUAUCUUCUAGCAAAUCCUAUUAUGAUUAUUAUAUAGGACUCAGGGUUUGAUUCAUUCAUAGAUUACACAGAUAUUACUAAAUAAGACUUCAGGCAACCAUAUGUGAGCUUUUGUAAAUUGUGAUCAGGCUUCAGUGUAAUGGCUGCCAGGUAAUAGAUUAAUGAGCUGUCACUGUUAAAUUCAUUUUCUUCUCCUUAUCAUUUACUGAGCAGGUGGCCUCCAACUCUACCAGCCUGUGCGCACAGCUACGAAAGCCUUGUAGCCUUUCACAGAAAAAAGGAAGCAGCAGCAGCAGCAGUUUUCAUUGAUCAGGAAUAACUUGUUGUUCGUGGAUUCUGACCUCUCAUCUCCAGCACCUAGGCAGACUCCAUCUGUUGGUGUUACUGAUCCUGCUCAUUUUUUGCAGGCUGGGGUGAGAUGAUGAUAAAUACACUGAAAUAGGAUAAACCUGCUGUAACAUGAAAUUAAGCAAGGCCUUGAAAUAAAG